GAAAGAGGCUGUAAAAAUGCUGCGAUUGGCGUCAGAUUUCUCAGGGAAGUUGCUGUAAACAAAGUAAAUAAGUGGCUUUGAAAUGAAAAUUUUUCUAC
rnacentral:lncRNA from 1 species